rnacentral:rRNA from 1 species
GAUGAACGCUAGCGGCAGGCCUAAUACAUGCAAGUCGGACGGGAUUUGGGAGCUUGCUCCUAAUGAGAGUGGCGCACGGGUGCGUAACACGUAUGUAACCUACCUUAAUCAGGGAGAUAGCCUCUCGAAAGAGAGAUUAACACCGCAUAAUAUAUUUUUAUGGCAUCGUAGAAAUAUCAAAUAUUUAUAGGAUUAAGAUGGGCAUGCGGAACAUUAGCUAGUUGGUAAGGUAACGGCUUACCAAGGCUACGAUGUUUAGGGGAUCUGAGAGGAUGACCCCCCACACUGGUACUGAGACACGGACCAGACUCCUACGGGAGGCAGCAGUAAGGAAUAUUGGUCAAUGGGCGCAAGCCUGAACCAGCCAUGCCGCGUGUAGGAAGACGGCCCUAUGGGUUGUAAACUGCUUUUGUACCGGAAUAAACCCUUUUACGUGUAGAAGGCUGAAUGUACGGUAAGAAUAAGGAUCAGCUAACUCCGUGCCAGCAGCCGCCGUAA